UCAUCUUGCGUCUCCUGUGUGGAACAAUCUAUGAAUUGAUCUUCUCCAUGCUCUGAUCGGUGUUCAUUCAAAUCCUCUCCCUAAUUAGGCCACUGUGAGUCCUGAGUAUGCGUCCUCCUCCCCCUUCCCCUUCCUCUUCUUCCCUUUCCCCUCCUUCUUUUUUCUUACCCAAGCCCGAAAGUGUGUGAGGUUUGCAAAGACUGACAGAAAGAGUGGAGAAAUUGAGGGAAAAGUGAUUCGAAUGACUCACUGACGUAACCUGCAGCAUCUUGUGUGUGUGUGUGUGUGUGUGUGUGUAGUGUGUGUGUGUGUAGUGUGUGUGUGUGUGCAUUUGAACAUGUGUGUGUUUGUGUUAAUUGCCUCCCGCGAGUGCCAUGUCCGCACUAAUGUUAGAUCUCCUCAAUCAGCCUGUGUGCAUUGCUACACACACUGCUGCAGCCCCCUCCAACUGCACCGAGCUUCAAGUGAUGCACAAUGCUCUCUCUCUCUCUCUCUCUCUCUCUCUGCCACUUCUACCAUGCAAAGUGUGUGUGAAAGAGUGUGAGGGGGAGAUAGAGAGGAGGACGAAGGGAAGGUAGAGGUUGAAAAAGAUGAGGGGGGGAGGCUAUAAAUCAGAUAUUUAAAGGAUGGAUGUAGAAGGAUAGGACAAUGAGGCAAUCAAAGACCUUCAGAUAGGGACAGAAACAGAGAGAAAAGGACACAGUGAAUGCAGCAUGAGCCCUUUGAGGCAGAUACAGUGAACAGCAAUAGUGUAAUAUUGUCUCUACACUAUUCAAGGAAGAAGGGGAGAAAGGGCAUAAGGGGGGGGAGAGGGAGAGCAUGGAAAAAGGAGAGUGCACAAUAAAAGUGAAUGAAUUCUGCUGCAGUAAAAAGCCUGAGUUAUUCUCUCUCUCUCUCUCUCUCUCUCUCUCUCUCUCUCUCGCUCUCUCUGAAGACACGCGUCCAUACAUGCUCCGUAUCUAUGUUGUUAACCUUUUUCUCUAUUCAAAGAAAUGCACCACUCUCCUCCUCCCCCCCCCUCUCCUCUCCUCUGAGCUCUCACCGGCCCUCCCCCUCUCGCUCCCACUACUCUCUCUUUCUCUCUCUCCCUCUAUCUCCCUCACUUUCGCUCCCUCUCUCACUCUCAUAUUCCGCAUAAAGGAAUCACAUUUUACUGAAGGAGGGGAAUCGAGGCUUCAUUUCUUCUAACACUUUCUCCUCUCACAACACUGUCUUAUCUCUACCUAGUGCCCCCUCUUUUUCAUUCUCCCCCUUCACGUCUUCUCUUUCUUCCUCCCCUCUCUUACUGCAUUUUACUCUGCUGCAUCUUUCUUCCAUUUCUCCCCUCUCUUGCAUCCGUCCUGUCCCAUUUCUUCCCUAAAGUAAGCUUCCUUCACUUUGGGUCAACUCUCCUCCUCCGCCUCUUCCUCUUUUUCCCCCUCUCACUUUUCCUCUGUCAUGUAGGACACUGCAGUCUUUCUCUUUUGAACUUAUUUCUAGCGUUUAACUCUGUUUGUUUGAUCAUUUCGCUCCACUUUUUAUCUCAAGAGACAACUUUUUGUUGAUGGAAAAGUUUGCUUUCUCUAUUCUCUUCAGAUCUUUCAAAAACAUUGAGGUUGUUUUUUUGUUUAUUUUUUUAAUCACAUUUGAUUUUGGCCUUUUUGGUGUAAUGUUUUACAUUUGGGAGAUCCUGGAGACUUAUCCGCAUUCAGACGAUACAUGUGGGCGGAUUAGAGAAGAAGACAGAGGGGUGGGAGGACCCCGGUGAAUACAGAGGCUAAUUUCUCACAAGGCUGCUGAACUUCACAAACACAUAUGCUGCGGAGAAAAAUACACACAAACGCAUAUUUUUAUGAGGCUACAUUCCCCACACAUGCUCACUCUGCUGGACGGACGCACAAACACCAUUUUGUCUACAGGUUCCCAGCCUUGGCUGACAUCAGCAGUCAUGUGGUACAACAGAGGAGCAGGUGGGUGAUAUGACACAGUGUGGAGUAAUAUGUCCAAUUAGAAUAAUACUGAUAACAAGAAGAGGAACAGAAACUGCUCUGAUGGAGUUAUCUUUGCUCUGAAGGCUGCAACAAGACACGCUGCAGGAACAGCUUAUCAGAUCAUUCACUUUUAUAAAAUGUCUUGUUAUUUGGACCAUUUUUAUAUUUGCCAGAUAAUCUGUUUUCAGCAUAGCAUGCAUUUUGUUUGGAGGCAUAUUACAGUAGAAGCACGACCAUUAGCUAUGUUGCUGAUGCACUUGUCGGCAGGAAACUCUUUAAACAUCGCCUCAUAAAAAUUACAGCAGCAGUAAAAGGGCAAAAGGCCAUUGCUUAAGUUUCCUCUGACCACAAAAUGUUCCCGUAAGAGCAAAGUGCGGACAGAAAGAGGAUGAAUAAAGUAGGAAGACAGGUGGGCUUUUUAAAAGUGCAUUUCAUAUAAGUACGGAAAAGAUUGAUACGCUUUCAUUUAAAGCUGCAAAGGGCUGUUUGUUAAACAAACACAUCGCAUCUAUAAUUUUCCAAAGUUAGAGCAAAAACAAGCUGCUUUCAGAGCUACACAGUCCUUAGAGCCAACGUGCAUGAGCUCAGACUGCAGGAAGACCUUCAGAACAUUUUUUUUUAACAAGCUAAAGGUCAGACUUCUCUGUGCUGUGAGGACACAUUGCUUAACACUGAGCCUCUGUACUUUCAUCCACUCUUUUUGUCAGAGCAUACAAUGAAAUGAUCUGUUGAAUGUGGAAAGUGGGACAACGUAAUAUCCUUAAUAUGAGAACAAAAUGAGGCACUGAAUUGCAUGGAAGAUACCCCAAGAGGAGCAGCUAUUCUAGAGAACAGAUCUGAGGCUUUUAUGUGAGCAUUACAUUCACUCACUUUGUCAAUUUGAAUGUUUUCUAACUUCGUUCUUUACAUUACCACUGUCCUGUGAGUCACUGUUUGGCCCCUUGGCAGCUACAUGUAGAUUGUAGAUGUCACUCUAAACAUGAGCUACAUUCACAUGAAAGUACUCCAGGUCUUGUAAAGCUGACUUGUCUUUGUAGACUACCUAUUAUUAAUGUCCACUAUUGAGGACUCCAUAUGGCUUGCAACCAAUAACUACAAGUGUUCUUGUAUCUGGAAACAAUACAUAACUCUAUUCUGUACACACCUCGUUCAUUUACAAUCCCCCCAAACCCCCGCAGCCCCUUCAAGAUUCAUACAGGUGUUGUACUCAAGAAUUGUGAAAUAAGUCUAUCUGUUCCUGAUAAAUGUGAGGGAUUCUUUAACCAGCAUGGAUUACAUUUUCCGUACAGUUUGUUUUUGUAAUGAAACGACUUGGAGUCUGCAGCCUUGUAGAAGCUCUGAAAAUAUGCACUUUGGCACUGCAAUGCUGCAGGCUAAUAUUUUCAUUCUAAGAACCACAUGCCAAAAAGGUCUCAGUUACAAUGCUGCAUUCAUAUUGACCAGGGUUACUAUCGAGAAUGUUAGAAUGCUUAAAUUCUAGCGUUUGCGAAUGGUUACAAAAACAGAGUACAACUGAGGAUCAUGGCACACAAAUGAAAGUGUCAGAAAUGUUCAAAUGUUGACUUAAUUAUCACGCUGGAAUGGAUGAACAGUCAGGAGAUCCUUCUCCUUAUUCAUCGUUUUACAUAUAAGGAUCUUAAUUAUUCCUAGAAAAUGUUUGUGGUAGUCUAUCCAAUACACAACCAAACAAUUCAUUACAAACAAACAAAAAAUGUCAACCAGCUGUUGGCGCUGGAGGAAAAGUCAAGAGAUCCCAAAACUCGGGAGGAAUUUCUGGGGAGCAUAAUUUAUCUUUCCAAAAUUUCCUGGAAGUAUAUUUCAUACAGCAGGAAUGUGCUGUAAAAACCUUAAAAUAAUAUUGUUAAAAGGCCUACAUCAUCAUCUAUAGAGUAUCCAGCUAUCAGCGCUAAAAAUGCAUUAGCUCUACAUUCAUUAAGAAUUUAAAGAUUGAGAACUCCAUGACAUGUUUCACUCCAAUCUCUGUUUGAGUUAUUGUAAAGCUCUUUAGGAUUUAUUAGAAAUAUAGGUCAAUUGAGCACAUUUCACUCUCUUGAAGGUUACAUUCUUUGCAACAAACUAACAGUAGAUUCGGCCUGAGCAUUCAGACGAGCAUGGAGCCGUCUACAGAAAAAAAGCUGACAGUGUUUCUUCGUCAGCCCACCAUAAAUACUGUAUGUCCAACUUAGUGUGCUCUAACAGCGAGCAUUAGCCGACUCAGAACACAUCCACGAGCAGGCUCUUGGCGGCAGCAUGGUGCGGCUCAUGCAUAAGAAAGUGGAGACAGCGGCAGACGCCCUGAGAUCGCGUGAAGAUUGAAGCAGCAAAAAGCAGAACAGGGAUGAUAGAAACAGCCUACUGUAAGUAGAUUCUGUACAUAUGGUAUAUCCAUGGCGAUGUGUAUGUUUGCACAUGUGGGGUGAUGUCAACACAAAGAAGCACUGGCCUUGAGGAUGCAAACAAUAUGAUUGACAAUGAGAAACUGGUGGGUCAAUAAUCUGUAUUGAUGUUGUCCAUCACUUACGGAAAUUCAAUUCAAUUCAAUUCAAUUCAAAAAACUUUAUUUGUCCCCGGGGGGACAAUCCAAAGGCACACAGAGCAGUAAAAUAACAACAGUGCAGGUAGACGAAACAUUUUAACCUAAAUAUAAAGUGUCAAUUUAAAUACAACUUAAAGCUUGAACUUAACUUAAAAAUACAAAAUAUAAAAAGAGUAGAUAUAAGUGGACAGUGAUCGGACUGACAGAUGUAAACAGAUGUAACCAGAACUAUGUGCAGUAAACGAGAA